GUAGACACAAAUAGACAAUCUCAAGAUUCUCUGCUCCCGCAUACUACACCAUGGGGAAGGAGGGGAGAGAAGAGAUCAUCUCAAUUUCUUGAGCUUCAGUCAAAGUGGUCUAUAAAACUCUGCCCCCUUCAUCUGGGAAGGGAUGAUACCCUCCGUAGCUGAAGCUGCCAACAGUGAAUACACAUCAGAAAAGACCCACGUUUAGUAACUUCAUUAAUGUAUCCUUAUAACAGAAAGGAAAAGGAAGAUUUGAGUUACAGACACAGAGGAAGAGGUGAUGGGAAGAUGGAGGCAGAAACUGGAGCAAGGCAUCUUACACAAGCCAAGCAACGCCAAGGUUUGCUGGCAGCCGCCAGAAACUAGAAGAGAGGAAUGGAAAGAACUUACCCUCAGAGCCUCCAGAAGGAACCAACCCUGCUGACACGCUGGCCUGCAAAACUGGGAGAGAACAAGUUUCUGUUGUUUAAAGCCACCUGGUUUGUAGCAAUUUGUUAUGGCAGCUCUGGGAACCUAAUAAAAGUCAAAACUCAAACCUGGCUCUUAGGAGUUCACACUUUGACUGAAAUACUACAUCGAAUGAAGACUGCUUAAAACCCGGACUACAGAUGAAUAGAGAUAAGAGAACUGAGUAUUCAGUGAAAUUAUCACAGAAGCUCUACAAAAGAAAGAAUUCUUCUGAUGCAUGCUGGUCCCAGUGAGACUUAUGGAGGAGACUUUAGUGCAGAACAAGAAUCAUAAACAAACAAACAAAAAAAGUAAUGACUACAAGGUUUACACAAGUUUAUUGCAACUUGGCACCAG
ensembl:lncRNA